rnacentral:lncRNA from 1 species
GACAAGAAUCUUAUCCACCCUCAAGCUAGGUCCACCACCAACGGCGGUGCAGCCGCCGCUAAGCCUUCAUUUCCGGCAACAAAAGCACAACUCUACGGUGCCACCCGCCCAACCUACCGUCCUCAAACCUACCACCGCCCCCGUAGCAAUCGUAAUUGGUGUUGCACCAUUUGUUGCUGGCUUAUCCUCAUCCUCAUCUUCAUCCUCAUCCUCCUUGGCGCCGCUGGCACCGUUGUCUACCUCCUCUACCACCCCCAACGUCCUUCUUUUUCCGUCAGCUCUCUUAAACUCACCUCUUCCGAGUUUGACCUCACUCUUUCCACCACAAACCCAAACGACAAAAUCACAUUCUCUUACCAACCCAUCUCUGUUUCUCUCCUCGCCGGUGAACUCGAUGUU